UUAAAUUGAAGAGUUUGAUCAUGGCUCAGAUUGAACGCUGGCGGCAGGCCUAACACAUGCAAGUCGAACGGUAACAGGGAGCAGCUUGCUGCUUCGCUGACGAGUGGCGGACGGGUGAGUAAUGUCUGGGAAACUGCCUGAUGGAGGGGGAUAACUACUGGAAACGGUGGCUAAUACCGCAUAACGUCGCAAGACCAAAGAGGGGGACCUUCGGGCCUCUUGCCAUCAGAUGUGCCCAGAUGGGAUUAGCUUGUUGGUGAGGUAACGGCUCACCAAGGCGACGAUCCCUAGCUGGUCUGAGAGGAUGACCAGCCACACUGGAACUGAGACACGGUCCAGACUCCUACGGGAGGCAGCAGUGGGGAAUAUUGCACAAUGGGCGCAAGCCUGAUGCAGCCAUGCCGCGUGUAUGAAGAAGGCCUUCGGGUUGUAAAGUACUUUCAGCGGGGAGGAAGGUGUUGUGGUUAAUAACCGCAGCAAUUGACGUUACCCGCAGAAGAAGCACCGGCUAACUCCGUGCCAGCAGCCGCGGUAAUACGGAGGGUGCAAGCGUUAAUCGGAAUUACUGGGCGUAAAGCGCACGCAGGCGGUCUGUCAAGUCGGAUGUGAAAUCCCCGGGCUCAACCUGGGAACUGCAUUCGAAACUGGCAGGCUUGAGUCUUGUAGAGGGGGGUAGAAUUCCAGGUGUAGCGGUGAAAUGCGUAGAGAUCUGGAGGAAUACCGGUGGCGAAGGCGGCCCCCUGGACAAAGACUGACGCUCAGGUGCGAAAGCGUGGGGAGCAAACAGGAUUAGAUACCCUGGUAGUCCACGCCGUAAACGAUGUCUACUUGGAGGUUGUGCCCUUGAGGCGUGGCUUCCGGAGCUAACGCGUUAAGUAGACCGCCUGGGGAGUACGGCCGCAAGGUUAAAACUCAAAUGAAUUGACGGGGGCCCGCACAAGCGGUGGAGCAUGUGGUUUAAUUCGAUGCAACGCGAAGAACCUUACCUGGUCUUGACAUCCACAGAAGAAUCCAGAGAUGGAUUGGUGCCUUCGGGAACUGUGAGACAGGUGCUGCAUGGCUGUCGUCAGCUCGUGUUGUGAAAUGUUGGGUUAAGUCCCGCAACGAGCGCAACCCUUAUCCUUUGUUGCCAGCGAUUAGGUCGGGAACUCAAAGGAGACUGCCAGUGAUAAACUGGAGGAAGGUGGGGAUGACGUCAAGUCAUCAUGGCCCUUACGACCAGGGCUACACACGUGCUACAAUGGCGCAUACAAAGAGAAGCGACCUCGCGAGAGCAAGCGGACCUCAUAAAGUGCGUCGUAGUCCGGAUUGGAGUCUGCAACUCGACUCCAUGAAGUCGGAAUCGCUAGUAAUCGUGGAUCAGAAUGCCACGGUGAAUACGUUCCCGGGCCUUGUACACACCGCCCGUCACACCAUGGGAGUGGGUUGCAAAAGAAGUAGGUAGCUUAACCUUCGGGAGGGCGCUUACCACUUUGUGAUUCAUGACUGGGGUGAAGUCGUAACAAGGUAACCGUAGGGGAACCUGCGGUUGGAUCACCUCCUUACCUUAAAGAA
rnacentral:rRNA from 1 species